GAGAACGCUGGCGGCGUGCCUAAUACAUGCAAGUAGAACGCUGAAGUCUGGUGCUUGCACUAGACGGAUGAGUUGCGAACGGGUGAGUAACGCGUAGGUAACCUGCCUCAUAGCGGGGGAUAACUAUUGGAAACGAUAGCUAAUACCGCAUAACAGUAUUUACCGCAUGGUAGAUAUUUGAAAGGAGCAAUUGCUUCACUAUGAGAUGGACCUGCGUUGUAUUAGCUAGUUGGUGAGGUAACGGCUCACCAAGGCUUCGAUACAUAGCCGACCUGAGAGGGUGAUCGGCCACACUGGGACUGAGACACGGCCCAGACUCCUACGGGAGGCAGCAGUAGGGAAUCUUCGGCAAUGGGGGCAACCCUGACCGAGCAACGCCGCGUGAGUGAAGAAGGUUUUCGGAUCGUAAAGCUCUGUUGUAAGAGAAGAACUGUGAGAAGAGUGGAAAGUUUCUCACUUGACGGUAUCUUACCAGAAAGGGACGGCUAACUACGUGCCAGCCGCCGCGGUAAUU
rnacentral:rRNA from 1 species